UUGUUUCUAAUAUGGCGUAAGGUGACAAAAUUGUAAUAUAUAAGUAUAUUCAAUUUAAAGGUGUACUGUGUUCAAGGAUCAAGAUACCAGAAUAACAGUUCAAGUAAGCUGUUCCUUCAGCAUGGCAGCAAAUGAUGGCCAUAUCAAAAGGAGCAAUGGAAAAUGUAAUAGAUGCACAUUAUUUUGUGUUACCCUCUCAAGGGAAUGUGUAUUCGCUCACCAAACUCUGUAUGUCAAAUGGUGCAAACAAGAUUCUUGCCGCAUCUCUUCGCCGUAAAGUUUUCUCAUUUGAAUAUUCCGGGGACUCUGACGGAUUCUUGAAACCGACCGUGAAAGAAGUGUUAUUCACUUACAUUCCAAAUGGAACAGAAAUUAUUUCAAUUGAUGCAUUUAAUAGGUCUCAAUCAAGUGAUGACUUUGUGAUAGGAAUCACAAUUAUAAAGCCAAGCGAACACAAUACAGAGACAUACCUGAACAUUUACUCUGAGUGGGAACCCAGUUCCGAGAUCAAUUUAGACAGCGUCGCUCAGAGCUGUUUGAUGAUCGAGUUGGAUUUUAUUCCAUACCAGCUGUACCAUACUGAAAUAUAUACCGAUGCAGAGGGCGAGUCAAAUAAGGAGGUUGUGUGGCUGUUGUCUGGGAGUGAUCAGAAAAUUCACAUGUUCCGGGAAGAUCGAGCAAACCACUGUUACAGCGAGGUCGACGUCGCCGAUCAUUUCCCUGAGCUCGUUGAACCCCCAAGCAUCAUCUUAUGGAUGGAUAUCUAUCACUGCAAAACUGAAACACGUCACGUGUCAGCAUUUGGCUGUGAAUGUGGAUACGUUAAGCUAGCGGUUGUAGAUGCGCGCAAGAAAGUAGUACUUUCAUGCUGGUCGGUACGUUUUGGAGGUCCAGUAUCUACAGUUCGUCUGUUCACCGAAGAAUCUAAUCUGAAACCCCCAGAUUUUCUUAAUACGCCACAACAGGAAACAGAGGAAGAAGAAAUGGCCGUGCAUCUGUUAGUUUCUAACACCUUGCAACCGUCCGUUGUCUAUAUGAAUGUGCUGCAGCGAGAUUUGAGCGACUGUUUCACCCUACCAGACAGCGAUCAUUAUGACGCAGUUCUUUGUUCUACCAUCGCAGACGUGGACAUGGAUGGAAAACACGAAAUUUUACUGGGAACUUACGGCCAGGCGAGACUAUUUGACUUAACAAACAAUAUUAGAACAAUAAUAAUUUAUGACGCCAGUUUCUCUCUAAAUUCUUGUAUAUGUAUAUAUAUUUCAUCAUGGACACUCUUAAGAAAUAUUAAUUUUUUUUAAAUGUAAUCGUAAGUUAAUAUCAGCUCGAUUAAAAAAAUUGAGCAAAAAAUUUUAUAUAAUGAAAUGUAGUUACAUGAAAUUUUUUUUACUGUAUUUCUUAUAAGAUUCUAAAUUUAACUUCGUUAAUCCGACCAUCUAUAAAUCCAACAGGACAACAGAUGAAGUAACACGCCCGAUGUUGCAGUUUCGAGUCUCAUUCAAUGCCAAAGUACAAAGGUGAUGACGACAUUUUGAUCUGUGCUACUGCGGGUUUCGAUUACUAGUACUUGGUUUAGUUUUAAGUCAGUUAUUUUCUUGCGAGAAUGACAGAAAGGGAAAAUAAAUUAUACUUGGUCACAGGUACUGAUGAUGGGAUAUAAACACGUCGGUGAAUAUUUACGACAAAUUUUUUUGUGUCCAAAAAAUGUUGCAGCAACUUCCAGGUAUUGAAGAACUUCACAGCUGAAAUUAUGCACAAAGAUAAAUCAACUUACGUAAUAACUUAUAACGUCGGUUGAACUCGGAUCAAAACGUGAGCACAUCCGAGGAGGAAAUACUGACGUACAAAUACCAAGAAUGUUGUACAGAUAAAUCAGGAACGUGGUCGCUCGUAAGUCAGCGCAGUUUUGCCAAUCCGAUCCAUUCCAUACUCUAUCUGGAUGUAACAGGUGACGGCGUGAAAGAGUU